AACGACUCUCGGCAACGGAUAUCUCGGCUCUCGCAUCGAUGAAGAACGUAGCGAAAUGCGAUACUUGGUGUGAAUUGCAGAAUCCCGUGAACCAUCGAGUCUUUGAACGCAAGUUGCGCCCGAAGCCUUCCGGCCAAGGGCACGUCUGCCUGGGCGUCACGC
rnacentral:rRNA from 1 species